UGGCAUAGGACGAACGCUGGCGGCGUGCCUAACCAUGCAGUCGAACGGAGUUAGAGAAGCUUGCUUCUUUAACUUAGUGGCGGACGGGUGAGUAACGCGUGAGUAACCUGCCUUACAGAGGGGGAUAACGUUUGGAAACAGACGCUAAUACCGCAUAACGUACAGAAGUGGCAUCAUUUUUGUACCAAAGGAGUAAUCCGCUGAAAGAUGGACUCGCGUCCGAUUAGAUAGUUGGUGAGGUAAAGGCUCACCAAGUCGACGAUCGGUAGCCGGACUGAGAGGUUGAACGGCCACAUUGGGACUGAGACACGGCCCAGACUCCUACGGGAGGCAGCAGUGAGGGAUAUUGGGCAAUGGGGGAAACCCUGACCCAGCAACGCCGCGUGAGGGAAGACGGUUUUCGGAUUGUAAACCUCUGUCCUCUGUGAAGAUAAUGACGGUAGCAGAGGAGGAAGCUCCGGCUAACUACGUGCCAGCAGCCGCGGUAAUACGUAGGGAGCAAGCGUUGUCCGGAUUUACUGGGUGUAAAGGGUGCGUAGGCGGGAGUUCAAGUCAGAAGUGAAAUCUAUGGGCUUAACCCAUAAACUGCUUUUGAAACUGAACUUCUUGAGUGAAGUAGAGGUAGGCGGAAUUCCCGGUGUA
rnacentral:rRNA from 1 species